AGAAAAUUCAAGUCUUUAUUCUCUUUUCAUGCUAUCAAAAUUUACUGAUGGAAAAUCAGAAUAUAGUUUUUUACAAAAGUAUUGCUUCAUUUAGUUAAAAUCUUUUAUUUUUUUAAAUAACAUUUCAAAACUUUUAAGUCUUCAUAAAAAUGACUAAUGAUUUAUAGGAGCUAUCUGAAACAUGAUGACUUUUGAACUAUAGAAAUAAUACACUAAGCAUGAUAAAUAUUGGCAACAAAUUGUAUGAGUCACUUUGUGACAGUAAAUUAAAGUUAACAAAAAACAUUAACUCAAAAUCUCCAAUACAACAAAACAAAGUAAUAAAGUGUCUAGCAAGAAAUAAAAAAGUUUUGACAGAAAAUAAAAGGCACAGAACAAAAUGAUCAUAUGAUGAACUGAUUUCUUUUACGAAUGUCUCUUUCUAUUAAAACAUAAUUAUUAAUUAGAUUAUUAUUUAAUUUUAUAUAUAGCUAGAAGGUUUAAAACAAAAUGGUGCUCAAACUAGACUUCAUAAUUUUAAGAAGAGAAAACACAUGUUCUAGAAGCUAAAAAUAGGAACUAGUGAGAUCUCAUCUAUUGAAAUAUCAGCAGAGAAUGCCAAGCAUGUCCUUCAAAGCUGCAUGCUCUAUCAAGAGGACGAAAAAAUCACUGGCCCCAAAAUUCCCCUAUAAAACAAAAAUUAUAAGGAGAGCUGCCAGAUCUAGAAACCCUGUGUAGUUCAUCACAGAUAUAGGACUGCUUGUCUGAACCCUCUGACAUAUACAUGAGAAUGAAAAAGAAGUAGAUAACUUCAAGAAAAAUACUGACUCAAACAACUUAAUGUGAAAUGAAAAAUUUCUUUUUUCUAGAUUUAUUUUCCACUUUUCUUCAGUUUUAAUCUUGGUAUUAGCUUAUUAUUUUAAACUUGUGCAUUAAGUUCUGUUUUAUUUGUUAAGCUUUUAAAAAUGCCUUGAGGUUAUAAAAGAUUUAGCAUGUUGUUUUUUUUUAUAUGUUCUUUUAAGACUCUACAUUUUUAAAUUUACAAUUUAUUUGCUCUAAAAGUAAAACUUUCUAGCCAGAUUUUAUAUUGCACUGAUCUCAUUCUUAAUUUUAUCCAACAAGGCAAGUUUCCAUAAUCUCAUAACCCUUCCUCUCUUACAGUCCUAGCUCUAGCUAAUACCCAGGACAUUAUCUUCAAUUAUGUAAAGGCAUUUUAAUUAAAAAAAAAAUAAAUGAAAAUAUCUUAAUUAUAAAUAUACUCUAUAACAAAGGGAGCCUAACUGAUUGAUACAAAAUGUCAUUAAUAAUUAUUUGAAUUUUUUUUUUAGAUCAUUCUAUUUGUUGUCCAAAUCUGUAACAAGGAAGAUGAAUAAACUAUAAAAAAAAAUCAAAUCUAAUUUAAUUAUGAAAUGUAUCUAGAUCUAUAAAGAACACAUUUGUUUUUACAAUUCACAAGUACUAAGGCUAAUUCAUCAUCAUAUGUUGCUGUUUUAUUUUUGCAUUUAAGCUUCAGUAUUAGCUUUUAUUGUAAAACACUAAUAAAACAUAAUGCAUAAACAUUUGGUUUGAACUGAUCUGAAAGAAGGCUCAAUGACUAUUCAUUAAAUAUGAAAAUUAGUAUUGAAAUUGUAUCAAAUGAUCUGAAAAAUAUUGCUAGCCAAUAUGAUAGUAUACACAAAAAGAAGUUUGUUCAAUUCAUUUAAAAAUGGAACAAAAAUUACAAAUAUUGCUAAAUAUUUAUUAUUAUGAAAAAAUUUUGUAUCCAAAAAAAAAAAAUAUUAAAAAUAUGAGUUUUUCUUUUCUUUAUACAAAUGAUAGUUAAUAAUGCCAAAUAUGAUGAUUUCUGGUGUUAAAGACUAAAAACUGGUUUCUUUUUACUUUUCAUUUACGAAAGUAAAAAUAUGUUUUUACAAAAAGCAGUAAAUGUGUUGUUUAAAAAAAAAGAUUUUUUUGUGAAUGGAACUGAAACAAAAAAAAAAUAAACUGAGAAACUGAUCUUUAGAUUUCAAUAAAUGUAUAACCUGUGAAUAUAAUUUUUAUAAAUAUUAUAGAGUCAUACCAAAUUUUUCAAUAUUACAUAUCGAUUCUGAAAAAUGUAAAAAAGGUAAACAAUUAAUUAUAAAGAUAUUAACCAAAAUGAUCACAACGAAAAUAUCACAUGACUAUUUGUCCUCACACAUACACCCAAAUAGUGCCUCCCAGUACAAAUAAAUUCACAAAAAUGUUAGUUCUUACAAAAAAAAAAGACAUAUUCUU